GGGGGAGGGAGGGUGAAGCCUGGUAGAUUAGAGCAGUUGGGUCGUUGCUUAGUGGGUAGAUGGGAUAAGGUGGAGAACCAUCCUCCUGCGUUGGUUUUUCUGAAAAACUGGGCUGUCCACGCUUGGCUCCUCAAAGGAAAGCUGGACAUAGCUGUAAUGGGAGGUGGGCUAUUGCUAUUUGAGUUCGAAUUGAUGAGUGAGGCCGAGCGUGUUCUUGCUAGAGGGAAGAGAAAGGUUCUAGGCAGUGUUUUAAUGAUGGAAAGAUGGCACCCGGAGGUGGGGUGUUUCAGCAAUGGUGUUUUUGCUAGAGAGGUAUGGGUGAGAGUGGUAGGUCUUCCCCUUCAUUUAUGGAAUCGAGAGGUGUUUAAGUUGAUAGGAGAUGGUUGUGGUGGGUUCAUUGCUGUGGACAACAAGACGGAAUCAAUGGCAGAGCUGCAAUGGGCUAGAUUGUUGGUGAAAUCGGUGGGCAGGGACACACCUUCCUCCGUCCAGAUUGUGGAUGAGAUGGGGUGCUUCUCAGUCCAGCUGUGGUGGGAAUCCCCACCUUGGUUCUCUCAGGUGGUGCCGGCGGGAAGUGCUCUCGGGAAAGGGGAUGCAGUGGCUGUAGAAGUUGCAGGGAGUGGGUCUCGUGAAGAGUGUAGAGGAGGCGUGAUCGUGAAGGUUGGACAGCCGAUGGAGCAGAGGGGAGCAGGUGAGCCGCCCUGUGGUAGUUCUUCAAAAGGGAUUACAGGCUGUCCAUAUGAGUUGGCUGGUAGGGGGCCUGGAAAGGAGGUGACUGAUGGAGAAGACAACUGCGGGAUCAGUAGUCGAGGGGGAGGGAAGUUAGCAAACAUGCGAGGUUUUAAAUCUGGGCCAGCUGCUUGUGUUUUUGGGCCCGAUUGGGAGGCCCAAGCCAGGAGCGGGCUUGGAGAUGGUGGUCUUAAGUCAGAAUUUGUGGGAGUCCAGACGUUUGGGCCAGAUUGUGAGCCCAGGCCCAUCACCUUAAAAGGGUGGGUAAUGGGCUGCGAGGAAAGGCCUUUCCUCAUAAAGGGGUCGAUCGAGGGCUGCGAAGAGAGGGCCGACAUAGGUUUUGAACCGGUGUUGGGGGGAUUAAGAGAAAAUAGGGCUUCUCCUCGUGCCGAGGUCGGGGGGAUGGAGAUUAGGGCUUCGAUGGAAGCUUCGGGUGGCCAAGUUAAGGAAGACGGGGGGAUCGCUUGCAUCCUUGGAGGAGAUUGGAGGGAUUCCGAGUCUCUAAUGGCGAAGGCGAGAGCGCGGAUGUCCGAAGAAGCGCUGCUAGCUGAAGCAUCCAAGUACGAGCCCGUCAUCGAUGUUCUUGGGGGGGUUCGGGUCCACUUCUCUUCUUCUUUUCUUUCUGGGUGCGAUCGGGCUAUGGUGGUGGGGGUUGUUAGGGAUCCGGUAGUUAUUGACGAAGGAGAUGGGUAUCAUGCUCCGUUGCGAGCGUUGUUGACUGAUGGCAGGCCGUGGGAGACGAGUACAGAGGGGGGAAAGAACAGGGGUGUCAGGUCAAAGGAGAGUGAGGAUCUGGAGGAAGAAGAGGACCAGGGCAGCGGUUGGGAUGACAGUAGCUUGGCUAAGUUCAGCAAGUCUUUGGGAUUCUCGACAGUUGGUGUUGAGGGGGAAGUUCUUAAACUUCUAUUAAGGCUGAAAUCAAGGAGGGAUCAAGGCAAGAAGAAAGGAAGUUCAGGGAUGACUAGGUUUGAUAGGGAAGUGAAAAAAUUGGAAUGGUCGAUUAAUUAUGAAGGAGAAAGCAGGAAGAAAGGCUCGGAUAGAAGAAACGGGGACAGAGCUCUGUGCCUCAAAUGAAGAUUAAAAUCCUAUCUUGGAAUGUCCGGGGGGUGAAUGACAGAAAUAAGAGGAGUUCAAUUAAGGCCUUAAUUAGAGCCCAAAAAGUGGAUUUGGUAUGCCUGCAGGAGACUAAAAUGUCUCAGAUGUCUCUAGGGGUGGUGAGAAGUCUUGGUGUGGGGAGAUUUUUAGAUUGGGGAGUUCUAAAUGCGAGAGGGGCAGCUGGAGGGGUGUUGGUUUUUUGGGACAAAAGAGUGCUGGAGCUGGAAGGGAUGGAGGUAGGUCUUUUCUCCGUCUCCUGCCGGUUCAAGAACUGUGAAGAUGGUUUUAAUUGGAUUUUUUCAGGAGUGUAUGGCCCUACAGUAAAGAGAUAUAGAGAGCUGUUUUGGGAAGAGUUAGGGGCCAUCCGCGGGCUAUGGAGCGAUGCUUGGUGUAUCAGAGGUGAUUUCAAUUUAAUUAGAUUCCCGAAUGAGAGCAGAAGAGGGGGAAGAUUGUCUUCUUCAAUGAGAAGAUUCUCGGAAGUGAUUGAUGAAUUGGAUUUGAGGGAUCUUCCCCUUCAGGGGGGUCCUUUCACCUGGAGUGGAGGCCUGAAUAAUCAAGCUAUGACCAGGUUAGACCGUUUCUUGGUGUCGGAGGAUUGGGAGGAUCACUUUAAGGGGGCGGUGCAGUGUACCCUCCCUAGGCCUGUGUCCGACCACUUCCCUAUUCUAUUGGAUGGGGGAGGGGUUAGAAGAGGUCCUGUUCCUUUUCGGUUUGAAAAUAUGUGGCUUAAGGAGGAGGGAUUUAAGGAUCUGUUGAAGGGGUGGUGGCAGAGUCUAAGCUUUAAUGGCUCGUUUAGCUUCAUCCUUGCUGAGAAGUUGAAGGCGUUGAAGGCUAUUCUAAAGUCGUGGAAUAAGGAGGUUUUUGGGCAGGUGGGUGUCAAUAAGAAAGUGGCUCUGGAC
rnacentral:lncRNA from 1 species